UACGGAGGGUGCAAGCGUUAUCCGGAUUUACUGGGUUUAAAGGGUGCGCAGGCGGAUAUGUAAGUCAGUGGUGAAAUCUCUAGGCUUAACCUGGAAAUUGCCGCUGAUACUAUAUAUCUUGAAUGUUGUGGAGGUAAGCAGAAUAUGUCAUGUAGCGGUGAAAUGCUUAGAUAUGACAUAGAAUACCUAUUGCGAAGGCAGCUUACUACGCAGAUAUUGACGCUCAUGCACGAAAGCGUGGGGAUCAAACAGGA
rnacentral:rRNA from 1 species